AUAAUACUCCCUCCGUCCGGAAAUACUUGUCAUCAAAAUGGAUAAAAGAAGAUGUAUCUAGACAUAUGUUAGUUCUAGAUACAUCUAUUUUUCUCCAUUUUGAAGACAAGUAUUUUCGGACGGAGAGAGUACAGU
rfam:Triticum aestivum genome assembly, contig: Triticum_aestivum_CS42_TGACv1_scaffold_194012_3AL